UCGGGAGCAGAGUGACAGGUGGUGCAUGGUUGUCGUCAGCUCGUGUCGUGAGAUGUUGGGUUAAGUCCCGCAACGAGCGCAACCCUUGAUCUUAGUUGCCAUCAUNNNGUUGGGCACUCUAAGGUGACUGCCGGUGACAAACCGGAGGAAGGUGGGGAUGACGUCAAAUCAUCAUGCCCCUUAUGACCUGGGCUACACACGUGCUACAAUGGACGGUACAAAGAGCAGCAAGACCGCGAGGUGGAGCUAAUCUCAUAAAACCNNUCUCAGUUCGGAUUNNNGGCUGCAACUCGCCNNNNUGAAGCNNNNNUCGCUAGUAAUCGCGGAUCAGCAUGCCGCGGUGAAUACGUUCCCGGGCCUNNNCACACCGCCCGUCACACCACGAGAGUUUGUAACACCCGAAGUCGGUGGG
rnacentral:rRNA from 1 species